rnacentral:rRNA from 1 species
CAAGUCGAACGCGAAAGUGGAGCAAUCCAUGAGUAGAGUGGCAAACGGGUGAGUAACGCGUGGGCGACCUACCUCUGAGUGGGGGAUAACCUUCCGAAAGGAGGGCUAAUACCGCAUGACAUCCCAGUUUUAGAUAGCUGGACAUCAAAGCCGGGGAUCGCAAGACCUGGCGCUUGGAGAGGGGCCCGCGUCCGAUUAGCUAGUUGGUGAGGUAACGGCUCACCAAGGCUCCGAUCGGUAUCCGGCCUGAGAGGGCGGACGGACACACUGGGACUGAGACACGGCCCAGACUCCUACGGGAGGCAGCAGUGGGGAAUUGUUCGCAAUGGGCGCAAGCCUGACGACGCAACGCCGCGUGGAGGAUGAAGACCUUCGGGUCGUAAACUCCUUUCGACCGAGAUGAAUUCCCGCCGGCCUAACAUGCCGGCGGGUUGACAGUAUCGAGGGAAGCAGCCCCGGCUAACUCCGUGCCAGCAGCCGCGGUAAUACGGGGGGGGCAAGCGUUGUUCGGAAUUACUGGGCGUAAAGGGUUCGUAGGUGGCUCGCUAAGUCAGACGUGAAAUCCCUCAGCUUAACUGGGGAACUGCGUCUGAGACUGGCGAGCUUGAGUGCAGGAGAGGAACGCGGAAUUCCAGGUGUAGCGGUGAAAUGCGUAGAUAUCUGGAGGAACACCGGUGGCGAAGGCGGCGUUCUGGACUGCAACUGACACUGAUGAACGAAAGCCAGGGGAGCAAACGGGAUUAGAUACCCCGGUAGUCCUGGCCCUAAACGAUGAAUGCUUGGUGUGGCGGGUAUCGAUCCCUGCCGUGCCGUAGUUAACGCGUUAAGCAUUCCGCCUGGGGAGUACGGUCGCAAGGCUGAGACUCAAAGGAAU